GAGAGAUCGUCUGCAUGUUCUUUCAUCUCAGGAAGCCAUUGAUGCAUUCAUAACUGCUCUGGGAUGAGAUGUCAAACAUCGCCAACGACUAAGAGGAGAAAAUUAAAGCGAAAGAUAACAGGGAAGGGUUAUGCCUUUUGGAGAAGAAGACUCCGCACUUAAUGAGAGUUCAGGAUGAUGGGACCUGAGCCUUAGGACCAUGCCUCAGGACUACCUGGCCUGAUGACUCCUUGCUGUCCCCAGUCCACCUGGUCAUGCUGCUGCUCGAGACACAACUGUUCUGCCUGCGGCUAUGGAACCCUGACCUGUUCACCGGACAUGCUACCUUGUCCCAGACCUGCUGUUUUCAACUCUCUAGAGACAGCAGGUGUGGUAGAGAUACUCUGAAUGAUCGGCUAUGAAAAGCCAACUGACAUUUACUUCUGAAGUGCUGACCUGUUGCACCCUCUACAACCACAGUGAUUAUUAUUAUCUGACCCUGCUGGUCAUCUAUGAACAUUUGAACAUCUUGGCCAUGUUCUGUUAUAAUCUCCACCUGGCACAGCCAGAAGAGGACUGGCCACCCCUCAGAGCCUGGUUCCUCUCUAAGUUUCUACCUAGGUUCCAGCCUUUCUAGGGAGUGCUUCCACACCUGCAUUGCUUGCUGUUUGGGGUUUUAGGCUGGGUUUCUCUACAGCACUUUGUGACAUCAGCUGAUACAGACGUUACAGAAUUACCCACCAAAAAUGGACCAAGCAGCGGAGAAAGGAGCAAAGGGGAUUACGGGUGGACUAUAGGGAGCAGCACCUGGAGUGGAGGAAGCAACGCGCUCGGGAGGAGAUGGCAUCCUGGUCGCUGGAGGUGUUGGAG
rnacentral:lncRNA from 1 species